UAGUCCACGCUGUAAACGAUGGUUACUAGCUGUUUGGACUUCGGUCUGAGUGGCUAAGCGAAAGUGAUAAGUAACCCACCUGGGGAGUACGUUCGCAAGAAUGAAACUCAAAGGAAUUGACGGGGGCCCGCACAAGCGGUGGAGCAUGUGGUUUAAUUCGAUGAUACGCGAGGAACCUUACCAGGGCUUAAAUGUAGAUUGACAGGUUUAGAGAUAGACUUUUCUUCGGACGAUUUACAAGGUGCUGCAUGGUUGUCGUCAGCUCGUGCCGUGAGGUGUCAGGUUAAGUCCUAUAACGAGCGCAACCCCUGUUGUUAGUUGCCAGCGAGUCAAGUCGGGAACUCUAACAAGACUGCCAGUGCAAACUGCGAGGAAGGUGGGGAUGACGUCAAAUCAUCACGGCCCUUACGUCCUGGGCCACACACGUGCUACAAUGGUAGGGACAGAGAGCACGCCAACAAUGACGUAAGUUGGAGACGAAUCUAACUAAACCCUAUCUCUAGUUCGUAGUCGGUACG
rnacentral:rRNA from 1 species